rnacentral:lncRNA from 1 species
CUUAGACUGGGGACGCAGUUACAGAAAUCAGUCAUGGUGGGUGCACAUCGAUAAUUUUUAAAGACAUCUCUUAUAGGAGCAGUACACACGAGUUGCAUUUUUCCUUAAUAUUUUAAUAGAAUUAAUUAUAUUGUUUGUGCAUAGACAAAAGAUGCUGAAAAUUAACCAAGGGGCAGGUGGCUUACUUUAUUCUUUCAAACACUUCAAAAGAAGGGCCAUUGAAAAGGAUCCCCAUUCAGAGAUACAAAAUUCCUUUUAAAAUCCCUUUAAAGAUGUUAAGUAAUACUUAUAAUCAAAAUGUUAAAAGUAAAACAUGAAUUGUAUUUUUAAGUGUUUUUAACCAAGAUGAUUUUGUCUGGGGAGUGGAAGACGUGUAAAGACUUGUAAUCUUUGGAUUUAUUUUUUUCCUUUAUUAUAGACCAGUUUCUACUCUUAAACACUCAGUUAUGAUAUACUGGGAGAAUCCUUAAAAGGAGUUGAAGAAAAUGGAAGGAAAAAGAUAAAGCACCCUUAAUUAUGUAAAGACAGUAUUUUGUAUAGUGUUUUACUUCAAAUGUUUUAUAUUUUGUAAAUACAGUAUUUAACUUAUGUAACAUAUUACGACGUAAAGACAUUCAUCGUUAAAGCCUGAAAGUACUAGAAUAAUAAGACUACAUCAAGAAAUGAGAACAGCUUUUCAUUUUUUUCAUACUACUAAUUCCUUUUUAAAACAUUGGGGGGAAGAUAAUUGAGGCAGUUACCUGGAUGUGUAGUUCUUGCCAAAAUGACAGUUUUCUUUAAAAGGAAAAAAAAAAAUUGAGACAGGGUUUCUCUGCAGAGACAUGGCUGUCUUGAAAACUGACAGUUUUCUGUGCUAUAGAUUAAAGUAUGUUACAAAAUACUGAAAAUCCUGUUAUUUCAGUAGCUAAAGUGGUCGAAUUCUCUUUUCAACCUUAGCUCUGCUUUCUUAUACUAAAUUCUACAGUAAAGGUCUUAGCUGGGAAAAAGAAUUUAAGCCAGAAUAAUGUCAGAUUUGAUACUCUGGGUAUUUAUUAUAUUUUAUACAGUGUUGCCAUUUGAAUGCUGAGUGCUGUUUUUCUUUUUCUUUUCAUUUUUCUUUUUUCUUUUCUUUCCCGUGGGGUGGGGGGGUGAAGCAUGGGUCUAAGAUCAGAACCCAGGGCCUUGCGCUUGCUAGGUCAGUGCACUGCCACUGAGCUAAACCCCUAACCCCUGUUUCUUAGUUUAAUCUACAUAUUUGACAGAAGUACCCACUGAAGCCACACGGGGCUGUUUUUAGAUUGUUUUACUGUAAAUGCUUAUGCUUUUCUACUUUGUUCAAUAUUUUAGAGUUAUAUGGAAAAUAGUUUUUCUAAGUUCAGGAUGGACACAAAAAGAUAUCCCUUUUCUUAUUAAUAAGAUCAAUAUUUAUCAAAGAUUUGGAUCUCUUUCCUAUUAAUUUUCUAAAGCAAUACAAAGUAACAAUUCAAAAAGCAAACCUCUGGAAGAUUUCUGGAGUCUGAUGUUAUAAAUUGCGACUUGAACGUUUAUUCGUGACCCUUAAAGUCUAACAGCUACUAUUUGCUAAGUGAGAAAUGUGGGCAUGGCAAACGGACAAAUACAAAGCUAAUUUG